rnacentral:rRNA from 1 species
GACGAACGCUGGCGGCGUGCUUAACACAUGCAAGUCGAACGGAAAGGCCCUGCUUUUGUGGGGUGCUCGAGUGGCGAACGGGUGAGUAACACGUGAGUAACCUGCCCUUGACUUUGGGAUAACUUCAGGAAACUGGGGCUAAUACCGGAUAGGAGCUCCUGCUGCAUGGUGGGGGUUGGAAAGUUUCGGCGGUUGGGGAUGGACUCGCGGCUUAUCAGCUUGUUGGUGGGGUAGUGGCUUACCAAGGCUUUGACGGGUAGCCGGCCUGAGAGGGUGACCGGCCACAUUGGGACUAAGGUACGGCCCAGACUCGAACGGGAGGCAGCAGUGGGGAAUCUUGCACAAUGGGCGGAAGCGUGAUGAAGCAACGCCGGGUGCGGGAUGACGGCCUGCGGGGUGUAAACCGCUUUCGCCUGUGACGCAGCGUGAGUGACGGUAAUGGGUAAAGAAGCACCGGCUAACUACGUG